GAAAGAAUAUCGGAGACGGAUGGGCAUGCGGCGCAUUAGCUAGUUGGCGGGGUAACGGCCCACCAAGGCGACGAUGCGUAGGGGUUCUGAGAGGAAGGUCCCCCACACUGGUACUGAGACACGGACCAGACUCCUACGGGAGGCAGCAGUGAGGAAUAUUGGUCAAUGGGCGAGAGCCUGAACCAGCCAAGUCGCGUGAGGGAGUACUGCCCUAUGGGUUGUAAACCUCUUUUGUCGGGGAGCAAAAGCCGGACGUGUCCGGCUGUGAGAGUACCCGAAGAAAAAGCAUCGGCUAACUCCGUGCCAGCAGCCGCGGUAAUACGGAGGAUGCGAGCGUUAUCCGGAUUUAUUGGGUUUAAAGGGUGCGCAGGCGGAUUUUUAAGUCAGCGGUCAAAUCGUGGGGCUCAACCCCAUCCAGCCGUUGAAACUGGGGAUCUAGAGUGUGCGAGAGGUAUGCGGAAUGCGUGGUGUAGCGGUGAAAUGCAUAGAUAUCACGCAGAACCCCGAUUGCGAAGGCAGCAUACCGGUGCACAACUGACGCUCAGGCACGAAAGCGUGGGUAUCGAACAGGAUUAGAUACCCUGGUAGUCCACGCAGUAAACGAUGAAUGCUACCUGUUUGGCCAGAUUGAGG
rnacentral:rRNA from 1 species